AUUUUUCAAAAUUUGAAUAUCGAAAAAGGAAAUGGAAACCGAAUAAGGAAAUGAAAAUCGAAAAAGGAAAUAGAAACCGAAUAAGGAAAUAGAAACCGAAAAAGGUAAUGAAUAUUGAAAAAGGAAAAAGAAACCGAAUAAGGAAAAAGGAACCGAAUAAGGAAAAAGAAACCGAAUAAGGAAAUGGAAAUUGAAUAAGGAAAUGAAAAUCCAAUAAGGAAAUAGAAACCGAAUAAGGAACUAGAAACCGAAAAAGGAAAUGAAUAUUGAAAAAGGAAAAGAAACCGAAUUAGGAAAGAGAAAAUCGAAUAAGGAAAUAGAAACCGAAAAAGGAAAUAAAAAUUGAAAAAGGAAAAAGAAACCGAAUAAGGAAAUGAAAAUCGAAUAAGGAAAUGGAAAUCGAAUAAGGAAAUGAAAAUCCAAUAAGGAAAUAGAAACCGAAUAAGGAUCUAGAAACCGAAAAAGGAAAUGAAUAUUGAAAAAGGAAAAAGAAACCGAAUUAGGAAAUGAAAAUCGAAUAAGGAAAUGGAAAUCGAAUAAGGAAACGAAAAUCCAAUUAGGAAAUAGAAACUGAAUAAGGAAAUAGAAACCAAAAAAGGAAAUGAAUAUUGAAAAAGGAAAAAGAAACCGAAUAAGGAAAUGAAAAUCGAAUAAGGAAAUGGAAAUCGAAUAAGGAAAUGAAAAUCCAAUAAGGAAAUAGAAACUGAAUAAGGAAAUAGAAACCGAAUAAGGAAAUGAAUAUUGAAAAAAUAAAAAAGAAACCGAAUAAGGAAAUGAAAAUUGAAUAAGAAAUGAAAAUCGAAUAAGGAAAUGAAAAUCCAAUAAGGAAAUAGAAACCGAAUAAGGAAAUAGAAACCGAAAAAGGAAAUGAAUAUUGAAAAAGGAAGAAGAAACCGAAUAAGGAAAAGAAAAUCGAAUAAGGAAAUGAAAAUCGAAUAAGGAAAUGGAAAUCGAAUAAGGAUGAUAAUCGAAAAAGGAAAAAGAAAAACGAAUAAGGAAAUGAAAAAAAAAUUAGAAGAAAAACUUUUUGAGGAAAAAUAUUUUGAGGAAAAAAAAAUUUGAGGAAAAAAAAUUUUGAGGAAAAAAAAAUUGGAAAAAAAAAUUUUGAGCAAAAAAAAUUUUGAGGAAAAAAAAUUUUGAGGAAAAAAAAAUUUUGAGGAAAAAAAAAAUUUGAGGAAAAAAAAUUUUGAGGAAAAAAAAUUUGAAGCAAAAAAAAAUUCAGUUUGGACUUGUAAUAUUUUUCAAAAUUUGAAUAUCGAAAAAGGAAAUGGAAACCGAAUAAGGAAAUGAAAAUCGAAAAAGGAAAUAGAAACCGAAUAAGGAAAUAGAAACCGAAAAAGGAAAUGAAUAUUGAAAAAGGAAAAAGAAACCGAAUAAGGAAAAAAACCGAAUAAGGAAAAAGAAACCGAAUAAGGAAAUGGAAAUUGAAUAAGGAAAUGAAAAUCCAAUAAGGAAAUAGAAACCGAAUAAGGAACUAGAAACCGAAAAAGGAAAUGAAUAUUGAAAAAGGAAAAAGAAACCGAAUUAGGAAAUGAAAAUCGAAUAAGGAAAUGGAAAUCGAAUAAGGAAACGAAAAUCCAAUUAGGAAAUAGAAACCGAAUAAGGAAAUAGAAACCGAAAAAGGAAAUGAAUAUUGAAAAAGGAAAAAGAAACCGAAUAAGGAAAUGAAAAUCGAAUAAGGAAAUGGAAAUCGAAUAAGGAAAUGAAAAUCCAAUAAGGAAAUAGAAACUGAAUAAGGAAAUAGAAACCGAAUAAGGAAAUGAAUAUUGAAAAAGGAAAAAGAAACCGAAUAAGGAAAUGAAAAUUGAAUAAGGAAAUGAAAAUCGAAUAAGGAAAUGAAAAUCCAAUAAGGAAAUAGAAACCGAAUAAGGAAAUAGAAACCGAAAAAGGAAAUGAAUAUUGAAAAAGGAAGAAGAAACCGAAUAAGGAAAAGAAAAUCGAAUAAGGAAAUGGAAAUCGAAUAAGGAUGAUAAUCGAAAAAGGAAAAAGAAAACGAAUAAGGAAAUGAAAAAAAAAUUUGAAGAAAAACUUUUUGAGGAAAAAUAUUUUGAGGAAAAAAAAAUUUUGAGGGAAAAAAAAUUUUGAGGAAAAAAAAAUUGAGGA
rnacentral:lncRNA from 1 species